GCAUGCGUAACGACCAAAACUCAAAUUUCCAUCACUGAGAUAGUCUGGAUAGAUAACAGAGUCAUUGAAUCAUUCCAACAGGCGGUGUUGCGAUAACGUUUCGCGGUUCCCAAACGAAAAACUCUUCCUUAAUCCUUCUUCUCCUGGUUUUUCAAACACGAUAUAUAAUAAUAUUAUCGUUUUUGUGUUUUUUUUUAAAUUUAAUUAUCAUUCAUACAAUUCAUCCGUCACGGCACGUCGAUAGCAAACGCGUAAGUACGACGCUUGACAAAUGCGUUUUCCAGAGCCUGACGACGACGUACGAUGACCGCAGUAGCACCCGCCUCUGAAGAUACCACUUCCGCCUCUACCGUCGUCACUGCUGCCUCCAAUGGCAAGGGACACAUCUUGCACGAUGGUCCAGCAUAUUCGUUGGCGCUCAACAAGGAGCACACUCACGUGGUGGUCGCCGGCAGGAAUGUUUUCAAGGUUUUUCUCAUCGAACAAGGAGGCUUCAAGGAAUGUGUCAACUUGCGCUGUGGAAAAACAUCAAGUGUACAGAGUUCGUCGAGCAUGGAUGUAGCUUGGAACCCGGCAGAUGACAAUGUUUUGGCAACUGCUACGACAGGUGGUGCGGUAGUUACAUGGAACUUGAAUAGAACAUCCAGGAAUAAGCAAGACCACAUUUUUUACGACCACCGGAGAACUGUAAACAAAGUUACAUUUCAUUGUGUUGAGCCCAAUCUGUUGAUGUCUGGCUCUCAAGAUGGUACAAUAAAAUGUUUUGAUUUGAGACUAAAAGAAGCUCCUAAAACUUAUUCCAGCGAUUCAGAAAGUAUUAGAGAUGUUCAGUUUAGUCCUCAUAACAGUUAUGUAUUUGCUGCGGCUUCGGAAAAUGGAAGUAUUCAAAUAUGGGAUACAAGAAAGGCCGAAAAGUGUCUGAAUAAGUUUUCUGCUCAUAAUGGGCCAGUAUUUUCUUGUGAUUGGCAUUCAGAACUUCAAUUUCUAGCAACUGCCAGUCGCGACAAGUCUAUUAAAGUUUGGAAUGUUACAAAUAAACCUAUUGCUGAGUACACGAUUAGCACUAUUGCCCCAGUUGGACGAGUAAAGUGGCGGCCUUAUCGUAGAUAUCACUUAGCGUCUAGUGCUUUAGUCUUAGAUUCAGCCAUUAAUGUUUGGGAUGUGCGCAGGCCUUACAUUCCUUAUGCAUCAUUUGCUAAGCACACAGAUGUAGCAACUUGUAUUGCUUGGAAAGGAGAUCCUUUCGUACUCUUAUCUACAAAUCGAGAUAGUACUUUGCAUCAAAAUUUCAUAAGUGAAGCAGACUUGCCCUUAGAAAGUGCUAACCAACAAGGUAUGGCUAUCAAUAGAGAUGGUGAUCUAGUGUUUUGUUGUCCAGUUAAUUUAAACAAAGUUGAAAUCCAAAAGUCUAAAGAAAGUUCUCGAAAGACUUCAACUACAACUAGUGGCGAAGAAGAAUUAAACACAUCAAGUGAAAUGAAUGUAUUCCGUGAUCCAAAAAUUGUCAUGUGUUUAUCUGAUGAAACAGAAUGUAUCCAAACGUGUGCUAUCCAAUAUAAACUUAUAGGAAGGUCAAUAGGAGAACUAUGUGACCACAAUGCUGGCGUCGCUUCCAGUGUUGGAAGAACAACUGUUUUUUUGUUUUGGAAUGUCCUACGAAUACUGUAUGAUCACCGAGUGUCUCUUAUUGCUCUAAAAGAAGAUAUUAUGAGUAGCUCAAACAUUGAAAGUAGCUUUGAUGGGGACAACCAUAUCGGUUCCCUCAGCGAUGAAGAUGGUCUCAGAGGAGAUAAACCUUACCAGUUGGGAGAUUUCUAUUUUGGAAAUGCGGAAAUUGAUCCUUUAGAUGCUGAACAUGACCAAUUUGACUUCAUAGGCUUACAGAUGGAUAGCAAAACUGUAGAAGAGGAUAAUGAUUGGGAAGUACCCGUAGAAUCAAUAACUUUAAGACAUGAAAUCAUACACGAGCCAAUUGUUAAUGAUCCUUACAUACCUAACUCAGCGCCAUCAGCAAACAAAUUAAAUAACCGUAUAACCUCUGCACCGCUAUUGCGAAUAACAUCUCCAGCUAAAUUUGACAUGUGGAAUCCGUCAGAAAUUGUUGCCAAAGCUCUUCGUCAUCAUGUUGAUGAAGGUGAUGUACAAACAGCGGUCUGCGCAUUAAUUGUUUUGAGUGAUGAAAUUAGAAGUGAACUAACCCAUCCCAGACAUCCUUGGCGUCUUUUACACGCUGAAAUAGAAUCUUGGUGGUUAAAUUAUCUCGAAUUACUAAAAAAAUUCAAAUUAUGGUCCUGUGCUACGACGGUGAUCCAACUUUCACGUAUUCGUAGUAUAUUGCAACUGCACCGGACAUCCACUUCAGUUAAUUUGACUUGUGGAUGGUGUUAUAAAGGUUUGACACGAAACAGUCGACGUUGUUACAACUGUCAACAUUCUGAAUGUGCUAAGUGUGCAUUAUGCCAAAGGAUUGUACGUGGAAUGUACGCAUGGUGUAGAGGAUGUGCACACGGUGGUCACAUUGCACACAUGAAACAAUGGUUUAUGGAGAAUAAGUACUGUCCAACUGGAUGUGGACACAUGUGUGAAUAUUGAUCUCGUUACAAUGUAUUCAAUCUUCUCAUGUACAAUCUAAUAAAUUACGUACCUAAACUCCAUUGUUGAUUGAAAACUGUCAUCUUCUGUUAUGGAAAAUACACACAAAAAUCCUUCACCACUGCGAAAAUAAUUGUCACGAAUGGCAGCAUAAUCUUCCUGGCCGGCUGUGUCCAGUAUAUCAAUUUGAACUUCUUCACCAUCUAGGACUACUUUUUUACGUAUUGUAAUAGUAAUUUGAUGAUACUACUGAGGCCUGAAGAUUGAAGAAUGACGUCAAUGUCAACUAUUCAUUUAAUUUAUAUUAAAAUAUGAAGAAAUGCAAUGAAUUCAAAAAUAUAUUUGAAAGGGACAGCGGCUGCUUUAUUAUAUUAGAUUAUUUUUAUAAUAUAUACAUGUUUGUAUCACAAAUUCUAAUUUAAUUUAAUUUAAUGUCUAUUUUAAUCUGUAUUUUUAUCAUGUCCUCAAUAAUACAAACAGUGCAAAUACACACGUCCUAGUUUCCUGUCA